rnacentral:rRNA from 1 species
UACGUAGGGCGCAAGCGUUGUCCGGAAUUAUUGGGCGUAAAGAGCUCGUAGGCGGUUUGUCACGUCGGGUGUGAAAGCCCGGGGCUUAACCCCGGGUCUGCAUUCGAUACGGGCAGACUAGAGUGUGGUAGGGGAGGAUCGGAAUUCCUGGUGUAGCGGUGAAAUGCGCAGAUAUCAGGAGGAACACCGGUGGCGAAGGCGGAUCUCUGGGCCAUUACUGACGCUGAGGAGCGAAAGCGUGGGGAGCGAACAGG